rnacentral:rRNA from 1 species
GACGAACGCUGGCGGCGUGCCUAACACAUGCAAGUCGAGCGGAGGUACAAUGAGAGCAAUCGAGAUGUACUUUAGCGGCGGACGGGUGAGUAACGCGUGAGCAACCUGCCUAUCACAGGGGGAUAAGGCGGCGAAAGCCGCUCUAAUACCGCAUGAGACCCUCAAAGCGAUGCAAUGGGGGUGAAAGGAGCGAUCCGGUGAGAGAUGGGCUCGCGUCCGAUUAGGUAGUUGGUAGGGUAAGGGCCUACCAAGCCAAUGAUCGGUAGCCGGCCUGAGAGGGUGAACGGCCACAUUGGAACUGAGAGACGGUCCAAACUCCUACGGGAGGCAGCAGUGGGGAAUCUUGCGCAAUGGGCGAAAGCCUGACGCAGCAACGCCGCGUGCGGGAUGAAGGCCUUCGGGUUGUAAACCGCUUUCAGCAGGGACGAAAAUGACGGUACCUGCAGAAGAAGCCCCGGCUAACUACGUG